rnacentral:rRNA from 1 species
GCCAAUCCUACUGCUUCCACAUGCAAGUCGAACGAUGAAGCCGCUUCGGUGGUGGAUUAGUGGCGAACGGGUGAGUAACACGUGGGCAAUCUGCCCUGCACUCUGGGACAAGCCCUGGAAACGGGGUCUAAUACCGGAUAUGAUCACCGGCCGCAUGGUCUGGUGGUGGAAAGCUCCGGCGGUGCAGGAUGAGCCCGCGGCCUAUCAGCUUGUUGGUGGGGUGAUGGCCUACCAAGGCGACGACGGGUAGCCGGCCUGAGAGGGCGACCGGCCACACUGGGACUGAGACACGGCCCAGACUCCUACGGGAGGCAGCAGUGGGGAAUAUUGCACAAUGGGCGCAAGCCUGAUGCAGCGACGCCGCGUGAGGGAUGACGGCCUUCGGGUUGUAAACCUCUUUCAGCAGGGAAGAAGCGCAAGUGACGGUACCUGCAGAAGAAGCACCGGCUAACUACGUGCCAGCAGCCGCGGUAAUACGUAGGGUGCGAGCGUUGUCCGGAAUUAUUGGGCGUAAAGAGCUCGUAGGCGGCCUGUCACGUCGGAUGUGAAAGCCCGGGGCUUAACCCCGGGUCUGCAUUCGAUACGGGCAGGCUAGAGUUCGGUAGGGGAGAUCGGAAUUCCUGGUGUAGCGGUGAAAUGCGCAGAUAUCAGGAGGAACACCGGUGGCGAAGGCGGAUCUCUGGGCCGAUACUGACGCUGAUGAGCGAAAGCGUGGGGAGCGAACAGAUUAGAUACCCUGGUAGUUCACGCCGUAAACGUUGGGAACUAAGUGUGGGUGCACAUUCCACGUCGUCCAUGUCGCAGCUACCAUGAGUUUCCCCGCCUCGGGAGUACAGCCGCAAGGUCGACUCUAAAGGAGAUGCGCGGGUACCACCAGCGUCU